rnacentral:rRNA from 1 species
UGUAAGCGUAUACCAAAGUUGUUGCAGUUAAAACGCUCGUAGUCGGAAUUUGGCAGUUCCGGAUGUGUGCACGUCGUGUGCGCACUUCGCGGGGAUUGCUUUUGUGGUCUUGCGUAGGAUGAGGCACUUUUAUUAGUGAACGUCCUCACGCAACCACUUUUUACUGUGAGAAAAUCAGAGUGCUCAAAGCAGGCAUUUGCCGUGAAUGUAUUAGCAUGGAAUAAUAGAAUAGGACUUGGUUCUAUUUUGUUGGUUUGUUGGGACUGAGUAAUGAUUAAGAGGGACAGUUGGGGGCAUUUGUAUUUCGGUGCUAGAGGUGAAAUUCUUAGAUUACCGAAAGACAAACUGCUGCGAAAGCGUCUGCCAAGGAUGUUGUCAUUGA